GCCUCCGUAGCUCAACGGACAGAGCAGUGGACUUCUAAUCCAAAGGUUGCGGGUUCGAGUCCCGCCGGGGGCA
rnacentral:tRNA from 1 species